GAUGAACGCUGGCGGCGUGCUUAACACAUGCAAGUCGAACGAUGAAGCCUAGCUUGCUGGGUGGAUUAGUGGCGAACGGGUGAGUAACACGUGAGUAACCUGCCCUUGACUCUGGGAUAAGCCUGGGAAACUGGGUCUAAUACUGGAUAUGACUGCACCGCGCAUGCGGUGGUGGUGGAAAGCUUUUGCGGUUUUGGAUGGACUCGCGGCCUAUCAGCUUGUUGGUGGGGUAAUGGCCUACAAAGGCGACGACGGGUAGCGGGCCUGGGAGGGUGACCGGCAACACUGGGACUGAGACACGGCGCAGACUCUUACGGGAGGCAGCAGUGGGGAAUAUUGCACAAGGGGCGCAAGCCUGAUGCAGCGACGCCGCGUGAGGGAUGACGGCCUUCGGGUUGUAAACCUCUUUCAGUAGGGAAGAAGCUUUCGGGUGACGGUACCUGCAGAAGAAGCGCCGGCUAACUACGUGCCAGCCGCCGCCGUAACAC
rnacentral:rRNA from 1 species